rnacentral:rRNA from 1 species
UCGAGAAUUUUUCACAAUGGGGGCAACCCUGAUGGAGCGACGCCGCGUGGAGGAUGAAGGCCUUCGGGUUGUAAACUCCUGUCAUGCGGGAACAAGCAAGUGAUAGUACCGCAAGAGGAAGAGACGGCUAACUCUGUGCCAGCAGCCGCGGUAAUACAGAGGUCUCAAGCGUUGUUCGGAUUCAUUGGGCGUAAAGGGUGCGUAGGUGGUGACGCAAGUCUGGUGUGAAAUCUCGGAGCUUAACUCCGAAAUUGCACCGGAUACUGCGUGACUCGAGGACUGUAGAGGAGAUCGGAAUUCACGGUGUAGCAGUGAAAUGCGUAGAUAUCGUGAGGAAGACCAGUUGCGAAGGCGGAUCUCUGGGCAGUUCCUGACACUGAGGCACGAAGGCCAGGGGAGCAAACGGGAUUAGAUACCCCCGUAGUCC